rnacentral:lncRNA from 10 species
CAGAUAUAAGAGGCGAUUUAUUAUGGGAAUUGGAUGACAAAGUUAUGGAGGCUGAAAAGUCCCACAAUCUGCCAUCUGCAAGCUGGAAGACCUGGAAAGCCAAUGGUGUAAUUCAUUCCAAGUCCAAAGACCUGAGGACCAGGUGAGCCAAUGGUGUAAUGUCUCGGAGUCUGAAGGCCUCCAGGAGCUCUGAUGUCUGAGAAGUUGGAUGUCCCAGCUCAAGAAAGGAGAGAAUUCACCUUUUCUUCACCUUUUUGUUCUAUUUGCGCCCUCAGUGGAUUCGAUGAUGGCCACCUAUGUUGGAUAGGGUGGAUCCUUUUACUCAG